UACGGAGGGGGCUAGCGUUGUUCGGAAUUGCUGGGCGUAAAGCGCACGUAGGCGGCUUUGUAAGUUAGAGGUGAAAGCCCAGGGCUCAACCCUGGAAUUGCCUUUAAGACUGCAUCGCUUGAACAUCGGAGAGGUAAGUGGAAUUCCGAGUGUAGAGGUGAAAUUCGUAGAUAUUCGGAAGAACACCAGUGGCGAAGGCGACUUACUGGACGAUUGUUGACGCUGAGGUGCGAAAGCGUGGGGAGCAAACAGG
rnacentral:rRNA from 1 species